rnacentral:lncRNA from 1 species
GCACUGGGGGCUCCUUGGCCAGAGGGACCUUGAAUACCCGGCCCAGGCAGGGCCGGACCGCCCGGGAGGCCGGACGGUGCCGGGAACAGGGCCCUGUUGCGGGUCGGUUCCCCUGCACGCUCGAGCCGGGCGGCCACCAGGCUCAUUGCUCGAUCCGGGGAGACAGUGGCUCGGAGGGGCGCAGGCUUGUACCUUGGCGCGCUGGGUUCUCAACUCCGCGAUUCCAUGCUCUGAGGCCGUUCCUAGAGUGGUCUGGCGUUCAGGUCUCGUUGUAGUGUUUGAGGUGACCAGCAAUGGCAGCAUCGGGAGGGACCCGCCAGCGGAGACCCAGCCUCAGAACCCACCGGCCCAGCCGGCACCCAAUGCCUGGCAGGUCAUCAAAGGUGUGCUGUUUAGGAUCUUCAUCAUCUGGGCCAUCAGCAGUUGGUUCCGCCGAGGGCCGGCCCCUCAGGACCAGGCGGGCCCCGGAGGAGCUCCACGCGUCGCCAGCCGCAACCUGUUCCCCAAAGACACUUUAAUGAACCUGCAUGUGUACAUCUCAGAGCACGAGCACUUUACAGACUUCAACGCCA